ensembl:lncRNA
GAAUGCCUUUGAUUAUUUUUUCUUAUAACUGAAUUGCCUUAGCCUCAACUUCUUUCUGUUCCUUCUUAUACCUCUCUCUUUGCAGCACUUCAAUAAGUGCAGGGUGCUUUACGGAUAUCAGCACACCAAAGACCUUCUGUUCCUGUGUUUCCACAUGACUCAAGGAAAACUGCCCUCCACUGCUCAGCUUAGGGAUGGGAAGGCUUUGCAAGAAAAAUGUGAUGUGUGCUGCCCUUUGUAGGAAUUAAAAUCCUGAAAAUCUGUCAGGUUUACAGGUGUAGAUAAUUCUGACCCAUUGGAUCAAAAGAUGGUGAAGGGAAGCCAAGAUCGGCCAAAAACAUCAUAUGAAAUGCGGAUAAGUAUAAAGAAACAGAGUUUCAAAUUACAUAUGGUAAAGAGAAGUUCAUUAUAAAUAGAGCUGAAUCACUGCAAAAUCAGCUGGCUGUUUCACAUCACCUGAAUAACUACAUCACCUCUGCCUCCUCUUCCAUUCACUUCUUGGUCCCUUUUCAUGAUAAAAACAUUUACUCCUUGUGACAUCUGUGAUAUCAAGCACGAAUAAUUUGGACAGUCCCAAUCCCCACCUGAAAUUGGUCAGGACCAUGUGUCCAGGUUUGCCCUGGAGAGUUUGUGGUGAAUUGUAUCAGAUUGGGUGUUACUUAACAAAGGUUAGCCCUCUCUAAUCUGUUGGAGCAGUAAAUACUUAGCAUAUUAAACAGAGUUGCUGUUUUAGGACAGAAAUAAUAUUUUUCAGUCUGGGACAGUCUCUAGCAGAUGUCUGAUUUACUGUAAAAAUCUGGAAGAGUCACUGUUGGUGGCAUAAAGAUCAACCAUGGGCAGGCAAAGCUGAUUUGUGUAUGUGGUACAAGAUCACUAAGCUGCAUGUGCACAAAAGCUCCUGUUUCAGAUGUCUUGCAACUGCAGAAGGGAAAAGCCACAUCACCUAUGCUUCUCAUGCAUGGUUUUUAAACAUGAGGAAGACAUCAGAUAGACUUUUGGAAGAUGGAAGCACUGAUGUCACAGCAGUCGGAAACAUAAGAUAUAGACGUUCUUCUGCAGAAAAGGAGCCUCCCCUUUCAUCCGUCAUCUGGCCCUCAUUGUAGAGCAGCAGAGCAGCAGCUAGGAUGUCAGCUUCUCAUUACAAGGCCAUUCCAGCUUUCCUGCAGGCUGCAAAGGUCUGACUUGUCAAAUGUAAAAAUAGAAAACUGAAUUCCCUGGAUGGAGAAUACAGCUAGAGUUUGAGGCAGUAGGAUAUUUAACUUGUUUUUCUAUCAAUUAGAUAGAUUUCUUAGACCACAUAUACCCUUCAAACUCUCUAAAAUUAAAAACAUUAAAAUCUUAAUUGGUAACCAGCCCUUUCUGCUUCCCCCAGGCAAUUAUGACAACAGAAUUAGACUCAGGUAACUCAAUUAGACACCAGCCUAAUCCAGCUUCCUCCAAGCAGGUCUCCAAGCAAAACUUCAUGAGCUUGAUGAAAACAGCAAUCAGACUGCUUUGCUGAGGUCAGGUAGUGCAUGCUUACAAUAAUCAAAAGAGUUUUACUUUCUCCUCGAAGACCAAAUAUUCCUGUAAACUCCUCAGCUAAUCACUUGGGCGCCUCAUCCAUUCUGACCAGAAAUUCUGCAGAUGUGCUUGGUGCAGUGUGAGGUUGACCUUGUUGCCUUCUUCCCUUUCAGUCCUACCUUUUUCCUGACAGCGUGCUUCAGAGACAUACAAGAAGAACCAGAGAUCAGGAAGCAGCAAUCCUGCUCUGCCCUGUGCUUCCCUUCCUGCACACUCCCUUCCUCUCGGCUGCCUAGAAGCAAAGACUUAACUUCACAAAGGGAAAGCACAGCAUGAAAUGGUGUGUGAAAGGGCAGCUCCAAAAGUCUGCAUGGCCAAGGCCUCAAAGCUCAGUCUGCAUGAAGAAACUCGGGACUAUGUUAAAAUGCAAUCUGUAGCCUCUUUGUGCCUCUAAGGCACUAUAGGAUAAGGCGCAGGGGCAUCAGUGCAGUACAUGGAAAGAGGCAGGUGCCUCUGAAGAAUUACCUGUCUCCUGAAAACAUAGUGUGUCACAUGUUGUUUCACAGUCACUGGCUGAAAAACCAUGAUUUUGUUAUGAAG